rnacentral:rRNA from 1 species
UACAGAGGGGCAAGCGUUAUUCGGAAUUAUUGGGCGUAAAGGGCGCGUAGGCGGCCUGGCAAGUGGAAGGUGAAAUCCUCGGCUUAACCGAGGAACUGCCUCCAAACUGCUUGGCUUGAGUCCGGAGAGGUGAGUGGAAUUCCCAGUGUAGCGGUGAAAUGCGUAGAUAUUGGGAGGAACACCAGUGGCGAAGGCGGCUCACUGGACCGGAACUGACGCUGAGGCGCGAAAGCGUGGGGAGCGAACAGG